rnacentral:rRNA from 1 species
UACGUAGGGUGCGAGCGUUGUCCGGAAUUAUUGGGCGUAAAGAGCUCGUAGGCGGUUUGUUGCGUCGGCUGUGAAAUCCCGAGGCUCAACCUCGGGCCUGCAGUCGAUACGAGCAGACUAGAGUGCGUUAGGGGAGAUUGGAAUUCCUGGUGUAGCGGUGGAAUGCGCAGAUAUCAGGAGGAACACCUGCGGUGUAGACGGCUUACUGGACCAUAACUGACGCUGAGGCACGAAAGCGUGGGUAGCAAACAGG